UACAUGAGACAUUGAAAUGUGAAAGAUGUUUUUUUUUAAUAGAUUUCAAUAUUGUUGAAGGUGUUGUAGUAUGAGAAUAUAUAUAACUUUUCAAAUCACACGUGAUAAUAACUUUUCAAAUCUCACAUGAUAAUUAUUCUCUAAAUUUAUGAUCUGGUAGAAAAAAAAUCAUUGAUCAGGAAAGACAUAAAAAUAUUUCGUGAUGAAUAAUAUAGUUAACAAUAAUUUUGAUAUGGUAUACUUUUAAAAUUGAUGGUGCUUAUCAAUUAUUACACAUAAUUUUAAUCAUAAUUGGUAUACUUGCCAUAGUGGUUGGAAAUAUUGCCUUGCAUUGAAGAGUUGCGGGUUCGAAUCCUAGUCAAGAUAAAAUUGUAUCAUUUUUUAAUAAAAAUUGCAUGAUAAAAUGGAGGGAAAAUAGAGGAAACAAAUUAGGGUUUAUAGUUUGCUUGUGUAUACAAGCUUAUAAUAUAAAAGAU
rnacentral:lncRNA from 1 species